rnacentral:rRNA from 1 species
GUGGCGGACUGGUGAGUAACGCGUGGGUAAUCUGCCUUUAAGAUGGGGAUAGCCGCUAGAAAUAGCGGAUAAUACCGAAUACACUUCAAGUUUCAAAAGGAGCAUGAAGGAAAGGAAGCUAAGGCUUCGCUUAAAGAUGAGCCUGCGUCCCAUUAGCUAGUUGGUAAGGUAACGGCCUACCAAGGCGACGAUGGGUAUCCGGCCUGAGAGGGUGAUCGGACACAUUGGGACUGAGAUACGGCCCAAACUCC